AACUCAAACGUUGCUGAUUAUUUUAUUGUUAGCUACUACUUGAAGGUUACUCCAAUGCCUACCGAUAUCAGGACUGAUUAAAAUACAGCAGUUCCCUUGAAUUUCUUCUCAAGUUUCAUUGUGGAGCUAAACUUAAAGACAAGAUAUGUGAGGUUAUAGACAAGCUUUGGUAAUAGGAAGAGGGGGAUCUGAGAGAGAGCCAUCCAAAAUCCUAUUGACUACCCAAUAGUUUGCAGCUUCAGUAUAAUGAAUGCCAUCCCAACUAAUAUGUUUUGAAGGAUCACUGCAUGAAGCACCAAAGAUUUCAGUACCGUUCACCACUGCCGUCUUCCCACAUUCCACAUGAUGGUCACCGCAACAGUUUACAAAAGGAUCAACAAAGCCUGCAAUCGCCAAUUCAAGUAUGUACGUCAGUAUAUUCUAUCCGCGGUGUUACGGAACUUGGGGUACUAAUGGAGGUCAAAUAACAGGGUAAAAAGACAUACCAUAUUUAUUGGCUUCACUAAUUAGAGAAAAUUUAGCCGAGUAGAUAUAGACAUAUAUAAGCCUUGCACCAGGGAGCUUGGCCUUAAGUUGAGAAACUGUGUCUUUAAGCUGCUUCUUGAAUUCUUGAGCCAACUCAUUGUAGGAUUUAAUGCAGCCUGCUUGGUCCACAUUCCCAGGCUUUGGAGGGAAAUUUAUGAUGACAGUAGGCAAGCAGCCAAUGGGACCUGUAUUAUGUAUCCAAAACACUCUUGCUCCUUGUUGAAACAGCUUCUGAAAAUGUAGAAAAUCACGACUUUCAACUCAAUGUCAUCUACACCGAAGCGGAUCAUCACAAUUGUACAAGUAGCAUGAGAAAUACCUCUACUGCUGCAGCAAACUGAUUGAUUAUAUUGGGAAUGAAUGCCUUAAACUGAUCCUCUAUACUUGUUAUAAUGCCAUAAUGCAGAUCAUUUUGCCCACAAUCUAAUAUGUAAAGGGACUUUGAAAACUCCUCUGGCCUAGGGAGCCUAUCUGUAAUAUCCGGAUUCUUGGCUGAAAAACAAGCAAGAACUAUAUUCAUUGCCAUUCAUGACAGAUAUAAACCUUUUGCAUAUCAGUUUAUGGAGCAGUCUACAAAGUAUGCAUAUCUAACCUUGAUCAUAAAGCUCAUUGGUGCGCUCUUUAAGUUGUUGGAACUGCAAGAGCUGUAUAUCAAGAGAUAAGGGGUUAAAACCAGUAUCAAAUAAUUUGUCAUCGGCUGGUUGAAUCGUCGAUCCACUUGCUGCAAAAUUCGCUCCGUGUCUGAAGUUUGAAUCGAUUGCAUCAAGGUAUGCACUCAAGAAUGGCAAUUUCAACUCAUUAGCU